CUGGCUACCCACAGUUCUCCAGCUGCCGCGCGGGCGAAGGUGGCGCCCCGCGAGGGUCGCACCAGCCGCCGCCGCCGCCCUAUUACCUGCCGCAGGGUGACCCGGAGCUGCGCCAGGACCCGGAUGGAGUCGCGGCCGCUCCUGCCGCUGCUUGCCGCGCGGCACCACGGGAAAGCGCGACGCAUCCCGCGCCGCCCGUCCCAUUGGUAGCGGGCACCAAGCCCCGCAUACUGCAGCCAAUGGGUGGGGGAGGCCAGCCGUCUAUUACCCACCGCCUCUCACGCUUAUUGGGUUUAAGGCCGCGGAGUACCGCCUCUACCUGGAAUUCUCUCUCUCCACUGGAUCGCAGGGAAGGGGUCUCGGCCCCCUCCGCCAUUUAUUUCAGGCGGCUUUAGGGGGUAACUCUGAAAUGGCGCCCCCGGCGGCGGCUGCGUGGGAGAUGGCAAGUUGUGCAUGGAUAUGACGUGGCACGUUACUCCUUGUGAGAACUGUCUCCAGUGAAGGGAUGGGGCAUACCUGCCACUUCAUAUUAAAGCAAGUCUCCUAACCGUGAGAUGUGUCUUCUGCCCAGCUUCUACAGACAAUGUAAAAUCACACCUCCUUACCUUCCUGCACAGGGGGCAGUGGAAAAACCCAUUGAUGUGGUCACAGUUUUGGUGUAGCAGGAUCUUCUCCAGGCAUUGCUUACAGAAGUUGUGUGUGCAAGACAGGACCAGGAUGGGGGGCGUGAACAGCUCCAGACACACGGGGCAUGAGAGCGCCUGUCUCAGGGUUUCCAUGGUGGUGGUUCACAUGAAGACAACCCUUUCCUGACAGCUGCCAGCACAGCCCCUCUCCGCCAGCCCCAGACUUCUAGAACCUGCCCCAGACUCUGUCAUAACAUCUCCUUGGCAGCGGCAGUUCCCUUCUCCAAGAUGCUGACAGUUUAAUGGGAUCUCCUGCAUCUCUGAUCCCACCCAGCGCAUGUGCGAAAUCACUGUAUUACACCAAGGUGUUCUUUCUGCUGGAACACGUUGGUCUGGAUUUAAGUAUGCUCUUGGGUGAUUAAUGCUUGGAGAUGUUGAAACAAUCCAGCAUCUGUUACUCUAAUUAGAAGACUUUUGCAUCUCAACACAAGAGAAGUUCCUUGUGGUGGUAAAUUAUUUUAUUACUUGUAAUUUUUCAUUCAGAAUUGAAUCUUUUGGUUUUGUUCACUCGUUUCAUAUUUUCAUUACCUUGUGCUGAAAGCUUUGAAAAGUCAGCUUAUGCCUUGUUAGAAGUAUUCCUUUUGUUAUCAUUAACGUCUUUAAAGUGCAUUUUUUAGAGAAUGGAAUAACUCAACGACAUCGAGAGCUAACAUGGCAGCUGUUUGGGGAACUUUCAAGUAACUGCUUUCUGCCAGGUACUGAAAUAUAUUAAAGGCUUCUGUGUCCAGUGUCGAAAGUCUCCGACAGGCAUAACCCAUUACUUUCAGUAAGGCUGUGUAUUUAUCAAGACAGUAGCAUUUGGCUCACUGCUUUUAGACAGGGGUACAGGAACCACAUAAGACAUUCCUCAUCUACUGUUAAAUAUAUCAGGUGUUGUACAAUAGCUAGGAAAUUAGAGUUAAUAGAUUAAUGACUGAAAGAAAUCAAAGUAACUGGACAAGUAAAAUCAUGAACAGGUGGAUAAGAGUGCAUGUGCACACACACACACUGAUCAGGUGUUGCCCUUUGGGGUUGUUAAUACCUGAUUGUCAUAGCAAUUAUGUUCCCUCUUUGGUUAUCUCCAGCUCACUCACAGCUAUGUAUGGACACAAUCACAACUUUGGUUGGGGCACAGCUGGUCAGUUUUGUGCUCUGCUUACUUGGGAUAUUCCUACUGCAUGGGAAUGAAGAUUUGGCAUUCAGGUCCCAGGCAUACAUAAAUUUUCUUAUGUGUAGCAAACCUCUGUCAGUUAGCUAGAAAGUAGGAGCAAAGCCAGCAGGCUUCAGGCCAGUAGUUAAGGAGAGUUGUUUUCCCCACAUCUUUCUGAUUCAAGACCUUUCCCAAAGAAAGCAAGAGGAAUAAAUGGGGGGUAGUAUGCUAGGAAUUGAAGACAAAAUGUCUGCUUGGAUGUUGAGUCUGAUUGUAGCAAGAGUUUUCUAGUCACCAGUAUAUUUAGAAAUUAAUUUGUGAUCCCUGUUGUUUCUCCAGCAAUCUGUUGCUGUUCUUAUCUCUAGUCCUUCUCCUUUUUCCAUAACCUUUGUGUCCUGUGAGUUGUGUUGCAUGGUGCAGACUAGCAGAGGAUGCUGGAAGGAGGUGUGCUCUGUAACUGAGAUGGGAUGCGCAGGUGUAAAAACAGGAGUCUCAAUAGGAGUGCAUGGAAACCCUGCACAGAAAGUAUGGUGUUAUUUUCAACAUAUAUUGCAGUCAGCCAGUGUCACUGCCAACACUGAAUGCUUUCUGGGUUUCAUGUUAUUGUGUAGAACAUUCACUUCGAAUUUUUUGAACUUUAAAUUAGUAUCUUGAUAAAGGGUAAAUUUGUUUCCUCUCAGUAGAGCCCUUUUCUUGGUGCUCAGUGGGGCUAUAAUGCAGCCAGGGUUGAAGGAGGAUCUCUGCCGCUUAGGCCACAGGGACAGGACACCUUGGCUCCAUCCUCCUUUUGGUUGUGAUUUGCUAUGGUCACUGUGCAAGCAUUUUACAUUAUCUGGCCUCAGUUUAUUCAUCUUGAUAAUAAACGUGAUAAUGUACUGAAAAGUUAUUUUCUUAUUACUUUAAAUGUUGUAGUAUUUGAGAUAUUUGGAUACACGUUAUAACCCAAGCACUUUUGUCAAAAAAAGUCUGAAAUCAGCAGAAAGAUAUAUUGAUCGUUCAGUUCCUAAGUGCAGAUAGUAUAGAAAUAGAAAGUGCUCUCAGAAGUAAAGUUGUAUAUUCAUUGUUUGGUAUUUAAUACACUAUCUCUCCUGAAGUAGAGCUAUUCAUCUGUUUCAAAGUAUGGUAUUUCUUCAUUCAUUGUCUUUUCAGUCACUGGAAGCCAGUUACUACAUGCAUACAAAUGCUAUUACAAUUACCAGUGAAACUGGUAGCAUAAAUUGCAAUGUAAGGGCACCCACCAGUUUUUCUUUAAUCUUAUGGAAGUCCAGUGUGCAAUUUAUUAAUUCUUAGCUGUCAUUGCCUAACCCUUAUGAUGGUACAAAGGUCACUUCACUUGGAUGGAGCGGGCAGGGAUUGAUAACAUUCCCAUGGUGCUUUCUAUUUACAGAGCUAACUUGCUUGCUUGAAUUCAGUUAUUUUUAUAAAAUACACCAUCAAAUCCUUCACUAUUUAAAUAAGGGCCAAAACACCACACUGAACAUGCAACAGACACUCAGUGUCAGCGUGGCAGGUGAAGAUCUGGCUGAUGCUGCCUGCAAAAGUGGGAAUCACAGACAUGAGUUGAAUUUUGGACUUGCCAUUAAUAUUGCAGUAGAACCAUAUAGUUUUUCACUUGUCCAAUAUAAUAUAAAUCAGUUCUUAUGAAAAAAGUAGGUUUUGAGUGACAUGGUCAAAUUCUCCUUAAUGGAUGUGUAAAAGCAUAAAAGUUUGGUGUGUUUUUUGUUUUGUUUGUUUUUUCACAUUAGAUAAAACCCUGGAAAAAAACUUUACAUGCUAUGAAAAAAUAUUCACUGAAAUGCUUAAACUGAGACUUACUUUCAAGACGUAUAUAUAUAAAUAUAUAUGUCAGUCAAAUGGGAGUAUUAUUUUAACAUCCACUCAUUUUUGAUAGCUUCCACCUACUAAUUUCUGAGACGUGAAACCCUUCUUAGCAGUGGAAUUUUUUAACCACCUUAUUUGCCAGCAGGGUGGGUUGUUCCUUUUGAGACUUUGGAGUCAGGCUGCUUAGAUCCCUGUCCAUCUCUGCUUGACCAUUGAAGUGGGCAUCAUCAGAGCAUCUCUUCAAGAACUCAAGGACAAGGUCAGCAAAAGUGCUUUGAGACCUCAGGGCAAUCCUCUGUGUAUUAUUUGAUUUUGUGGUGUGCUGGGUAUGUCAAAUAAAAGAUUCCUCCAAAAACAUGGUCUGGCUGACAAAGGAGUAGUUUGAUGUGGCUUUUUAUUUCAAGUCUAUUAACAGUUAGGUAAUAUGAGGAUAUACAGAGAUGAGGAUAUAGAGGAUUUACUCUCCUGGUAAAUGUUCAUAUGUCUUCUUUUAAAAGACGGUACUGACUUUAUUGAGGCGGGGGAGGAAAAUAGACCAAUGGUUAUUUUGCUGAGAAAUGUGACCAUAAUAUUGCCCACUAUGGCGGAUCAAGUCAGGAAGCUAAAGAUGGGGUUGUGCCAGUGAUGGUCAUAUUUUUCUCAUUUUUGUUUUUGUUGGGGUAUUUGUUGGGUUUUUUUGGUGGUGGCUUUUUUGUUUUUAGAUUGAGCACCAUUUUGAGCCAGUUUAAAGGCUAAAUGGACAACGUCCACACAUAUUUUCUUGAGCCUGACUUAUUGGAACUGAAUAGAUCUCCUGCAAGUCAGAUACGGGUGUUAGACUUCUCAGUUUUGGUUCAACAUGAAAUACCUUUAUUAUUAAAAGCUUACUUGUAAAAUAGCUAUAUUGGUGUAGACCCUUUCGAGUACUAGCCCAGAGCCUGAGGCUGCACUGGAAACUGGUGUUUGUAAUUUCGCAGGUUGCUGCAGCUGGCACGUGUCACUAACUGGCACAGAGAGAGAGCAUAGAGGCUGUGGUUUUAAUGUAAGAAAAAAAAAAAAGAUACAAAUAGGUUGUUUUAUUGCCUCCUAUGAAGGCAAUAAAUUCCAUGAAGGCAGUCUAUUCCUACCACUGUUUGCAAUAGGUCAGUCCAGAAGACACUGGGAAGGGGGGGUUGGUCUCUUCCCUGCCCUCUCCUGCGUCACCAGUGUGUUGCCUGUGACUGCUCAGAGGAUCUUCUGUGAUCUUGUAGUAAAGCUCUAGGAAAUGCAAAAGUGGGGUAGGAACUCCUCCAAGGCAACAACAGGGAAAUCCCACACUCUGGGAGUAGUGUGGACUCCCCUUCCCACCCUCAGUCACCCUCCGCUCUACUUAGCCAGGCCUGGGAUGCUUCCAGCUCCCCCGUGUUGUGUUUUUAUAGUAUGAAUUGGUGACGCUCGGCAGUGUUUAGCACAUUCCAACCUGCCAUGGUGGCCUGUCCCUGGUUCACUGCAGGGUUUUAGCAGGACGGUGUUUGCUGCUGUGUGCAUGGUGUGGUAUUUCCAGUGGAGACUGUCCUGUCGGGCAGUGAGAACAGCUGCCAUGAAGUUUUGUAGUGAAAAACUUUCUCACAUUUCUAAGUCACAGCUGCACAGAAAAAGACAUCUGUAAUAUUGCAUCUUUCUUCUACUUUCUUAGAUGCAAAAUUGCUGUCAUGGUGAAUUUCCUCACUGGUACAUGUAGUGACUAAGAAAAACUACGUAUUAUUUUUGUGUUUCAGGUUCACAAGCAAAGAAACACCUGUUUCAUGAAAUUCCCAUGCCCUACCGUUGGGUCCUAUCUUCUGCCUAAGCUUUGAGCUUCAAAUACGCAACUAGUGUCUCAUGUGUCUCCUUCAGAAUGGAGCCUGACAGAGCGUACUCCCUUAAAUUUCACAUGAAGAAGGAAUGGAAAAGUCAAGGCUUCAUCUUUGGUGGAAAACAAAAGUGACUCGUUAGCCCUGGGGUCCCCCAAGGCACCAAACUGGGCUCCAGCCUGGAAGCUGCCGACGGAAGGGGAUCUUGCACUUGUCUUGAGACUGAAAUAGCUCACUCUUCAGCCUCACAAGCUGUUGCUAACAGCCCCCAAGGAGGUCAGAAAGCCCUUGGCUGUGGUUUCUGGUUGUUCUGGGGGACUGUGAACUCCUCGCUGCCCCUGUGACAGUGCCCGGAAAACAGAGCAGAGCCGUGGGCUCAGCCCCAGCUGGGCCUGUGUCCCAGCCCUUGGACAGAGCUGCCCGACGGGAUGUGCUCCCCUCCCAAAGAGGGCAGCUCCCCUGGCUGUGCUCCAGCGGCUCUCCACGAGCGCCCCGAGGGCCAUCCCCACACAGGCUCGGCCAGGC